UACGGGGGGGGGUAAGCGUUGUUCGGAAUUACUGGGCGUAAAGGGCUCGUAGGCGGCCAACUAAGUCAGACGUGAAAUCCCUCAGCUUAACUGGGGAACUGCGUCUGAUACUGGAUGGCUUGGAUUUGGGAGAGGAAUGCGGAAUUCCAGGUGUAGCGGUGAAAUGCGUAGAUAUCUGGAGGAACACCGGUGGCGAAGGCGGCAUUCUGGACCAAUAUUGACGCUGAGGAGCGAAAAGCCAGGGGGAGCAAACGGG
rnacentral:rRNA from 1 species